GCGACCCACACUUGGUUUCAA
rnacentral:miRNA from 1 species